rnacentral:rRNA from 1 species
UAGGGAAUCUUCCACAAUGGACGCAAGUCUGAUGGAGCAACGCCGCGUGAGUGAAGAAGGUCUUCGGAUCGUAAAGCUCUGUUGUUGGUGAAGAAGGAUAGAGGCAGUAACUGGUCUUUAUUUGACGGUAAUCAACCAGAAAGUCACGGCUAACUACGUGCCAGCAGCCGCGGUAAUACGUAGGUGGCAAGCGUUGUCCGGAUUUAUUGGGCGUAAAGCGAGCGCAGGCGGAAUGAUAAGUCUGAUGUGAAAGCCCACGGCUCAACCGUGGAACUGCAUCGGAAACUGUCAUUCUUGAGUGCAGAAGAGGAGAGUGGAACUCCAUGUGUAGCGGUGGAAUGCGUAGAUAUAUGGAAGAACACCAGUGGCGAAGGCGGCUCUCUGGUCUGCAACUGACGCUGAGGCUCGAAAGCAUGGGUAGCGAACAGGAUUAGAUACCCUGGUAGUCCAUGCCGUAAACGAUGAGCGCUAGGUGUUGGGGCACUUUCCGGUCCUCAGUGUCGCAGCAAAUCGCAUUAAGCGCUCCGCCUGGGGAGUACGACCGCAAGGUUGAAACGUCUAAAGUGAAUUGAC